UACGUAGGGGGCAAGCGUUAUCCGGAUUUACUGGGUGUAAAGGGGGCGCAGACGGCGAUGCAAGCCAGGAGUGAAAGCCCGGGGCCCAACCCCGGGACUGCUCUUGGAACUGCGUGGCUGGAGUGCAGGAGGGGCAGGCGGAAUUCCUGGUGUAGCGGUGAAAUGCGUAGAUAUCAGGAGGAACACCGGUGGCGAAGGCGGCCUGCUGGACUGUAACUGACGUUGAGGCUCGAAAGCGUGGGUAGCAAACAGG
rnacentral:rRNA from 1 species